AUAUAAUCUCGUGGUGCGCCGUUUUUUAAGCCCGUCGGAAAAGCGCAGUAUUCUGGUGGGAGUGACCCGAUUUUCCAGGUGCUGUCAGUCACCGCUUUCUUUGACUCGGAAAGGGAACUCCCUGACCCCUUGCACUUCCCAAGUGAGGCAAUGCCUCGCCCUGCUUCGGCUCGUGCACGAUACGUGCACCCACUGACCUGCGCCCACUGUCUGGCACUCCCUAGUGAGAUGAACCCGGUACCUCAGAUGGAAAUGCAGAAAUCACCUGUCUUCUGCUUCGCUCACGCUGGGAGCUGUAGACCGGAGCUGUUCCUGUUCGGCCAUCUUGGCUCCUCCCUGCCAGAUAGCUCUUAUUUUGAGCUCUGAAGGCUGAGAACUUCAAGAUCAAGGCACCAGUAGACUCAGUGUCUUAUGAGUGCUACUAUUUGCUUCAAAGACGAUGCCUUCUUGCUAAAUCCUCUGCAGAAAGCUGAAGAUCCACCGUGCAAGGAAGACAUCAAGGAGAUCCCUGCUGUACAUAGGAAUUUGAAUGAGAAUUUCCCUUCAAUUCUGAGACACUAUAAAUCUGACAUCAUAUAGUAAUAUGAAAGGUGAUAUUUCACACAUAACCAAGGCACAACUUCUCUUUUCAGUAAAUAUUGCUAAACUCAAAAAAACCUACACAUAUGACUUAAAUGAUAGAUAUAAAUAAAGGUGGUUUCAACAC
rnacentral:lncRNA from 10 species